rnacentral:rRNA from 1 species
GAUGAGCGCUAGCGGCAGGCCUAAUACAUGCAAGUCGGACGGGAUUCGGGUGCUUGCACCUGAUGAGAGUGGCGCACGGGUGCGUAACACGUAUGUAACCUACCUUAGUCAGGGGGAUAGCCUCUCGAAAGAGAGAUUAAGACCGCAUAACAUCAUGGAAUGGCAUCGUUUGGUGAUCAAAUAUUUAUAGGACUAAGAUGGGCAUGCGCAACAUUAGCUAGUUGGUGUGGUAACGGCAUACCAAGGCUACGAUGUUUAGGGGAUCUGAGAGGAUGACCCCCCACGCUGGUACUGAGACACGGACCAGACUCCUACGGGAGGCAGCAGUAAGGAAUAUUGGUCAAUGGACGGAAGUCUGAACCAGCCAUGCCGCGUGCAGGAAGACGGCCCUAUGGGUUGUAAACUGCUUUUGCAGGGGAAUAAACCUCGGUACGUGUACCGAGUUGAAUGUACCUUGAGAAUAAGGAUCGGCUAACUCCGUGCCAGCAGCCGCCGUAACAC